rnacentral:rRNA from 1 species
AACGAACGCUGGCGGCAGGCUUAACACAUGCAAGUCGAACGGGUGCAGCAAUGCAUCAGUGGCAGACGGGUGAGUAACACGUGGGAACCUUCCUAGGGGUACGGAACAACUCAGGGAAACUUGAGCUAAUACCGUAUACGUCCGUAAGGAGAAAGAUUCAUCGCCCCUAGACGGGCCCGCGUCGGAUUAGGUAGUUGGUGGGGUAACGGCCUACCAAGCCUACGAUCCGUAGCUGAUCNGAGAGGAUGAUCAGCCACACUGGGACUGAGACACGGCCCAGACUCCUACGGGAGGCAGCAGUGGGGAAUAUUGGGCAAUGGGCGCAAGCCUGACCCAGCC